GGGGGUAUAAUUCAGUGGUAGAGUGUGUGCUUGGUGUGCAUGAGGUCCUAGGUUCAUUCCCCAGUACCCCCU
rnacentral:tRNA from 1 species